UCUCUCUGAAUCUGCGAACGGCUCCGCAAACCAGUUGUAAACCAUAGCAAGCAUGCCUUGGGUCCGCCGCAAGGUGGAUCCUUGGCGAUAAGGAUAACCCUGGUAAUUCUGAGGCUAAUACAUGAACGUAACCCCUGGCUGACGGGCAACUGGAGGCUGGGGACCGUGCGAGUAGACGCAAAGUUUAUUGGGAGUAGUCGCACAGUAAGACCACCAUACCAAACGGUAUCUGCUUCGCUGCCUCACGGCGGCUGGUGGUGUCCGGGUGGCUCUUGCAAGGUGCUUCUGACCUAUCAACUAGAUGGCAGCGUAACGGACAUGCUAUGGUGACAACGGGUACAGAGGAUAAGGGUUCGAUCCUGGAGAGUGGGCCUGAGAGAUUGCUCACACUUCUAAGGAAGGCAGCAGGCGCGCAACGUUCCCCUUGGGCAAUGCUCGAGGGCGUUAGGGGACAUAUGAAUGUCUGCCUUAUGGUGGACAAUUCAAAUGGGUCUGUUCUAAACAGCCUCUCGA
rnacentral:rRNA from 1 species